GAAGGGCUCGCGGCUGAUUAGCUAGUUGGAGUGGUAAAGGCACACCAAGGCAACGAUCAGUAACUGGUCUGAGAGGAUGAGCAGUCACACUGGAACUGAGAAACGGUCCAGACUCCUACGGGAGGCAGCAGUGGGGAAUUUUCCGCAAUGGGCGAAAGCCUGACGGAGCAAUACCGCGUGAGGGAGGAAGGUUCUUGGAUUGUAAACCUCUUUUCUAGGGGAAUAAAAAAAUGAAGGUACCCUAGGAAUAAGCAUCGGCUAACUCCGUGCCAGCAGCCGCGGUAAUACGGAGGAUGCAAGCGUUAUCCGGAAUUAUUGGGCGUAAAGAGUCCGUAGGUGGAAGUUCAAGUCUGCGGUCAAAGAAUGGAGCUUAACUCCAUAGAGGCCGUGGAAACUGAGCAACUAGAGUGCGGUAGGGGUAACGGGAAUUCCCAGUGUAGCGGUGAAAUGCGUAGA
rnacentral:rRNA from 1 species